rnacentral:rRNA from 2 species
CUGGUGUCAGCCGCCGCGGUAAUACCAGCUCCUCGAGUGGUCGGGGCGAUUAUUGGGCCUAAAGCAUCCGUAGCCUGUUCUGUAGGUCCGCUGUUAAAUCCAACGGCUUAACCGUUGGUCUGCAGCGGAUACCGCAGGACUAGGAGGCGGGAGAGGUGGACGGUACUCCACGUGUAGGGGUAAAAUCCUUUGAUCCGUGGAAGACCACCAGUGGCGAAGGCGGUCCACCAGAACGCGCUCGACGGUGAGGGAUGAAAGCUGGGGGAGCGAACCGGAUUAGAUACCCGGGUAGUCCCAGCCGUAAACGAUGCGAGCUAGAUGAUCCAGUCGCAAAUCGCGACUGGAGUGUCGCAGGGAAGCCGUUAAGCUCGCCGCCUGGGGAGUACGGUCGCAAGACUGAAACUUAAAG